CAGAGUUUCGUAAAUAUGGCAUGACUGAAUUCCCACCGAACAGUUCACAGAUAUUCUCCACCCACCCAAAAGAGACAUUCUUUAAUAUCUAUAUUACUACUAUGUCAAUCAAUUAAUGGCCUCUCUCUCUCUCCCCUCCAUCUUCAACUUCCAGCUACUAUCUCCCAGAAGCCUGCAACACAGUGCACAGUCAAUUUACUUCUUUACCGCUCACGGUUUCCUGAGAAAGCGCACACACACAAUUAUACCAUUACCACACCAUGCCAUCCAUUUUUCAUCAUUUCUUUUGGCACUCAGUCUCAAAACCAGCAGCUUUCCCUUUCAACAAAUUAGUCUCGACCUUCCUUCCAAUGUCUUGGUUCUAACUCGCAAGAACCCACCUUCAGACAGGUAUUAUUGUUAUUUCUACUCGUAAGCUCUGUUAUUAGGUUUUAAUGGACUUCAUAUGCCCCAAGUGGUGUUUUUCUUUAGCUUUGGCGGUGGGGUGGGUUCUUUAUUGGGUGGGUUUUAUUGAUGCUGCAGAUGCCACAGAAAUUGUGCAUUAAUGGUGCUUCGAGCUUAAUUGGAAUUGACUGUCUGAGAUUUAGGGAGGGGUGUAACUUAAUCUUUGGUUCUUUCUUCGCCAUAACUUUCUUCUUCAGACCUUUGGUUUCCCUGCAACCCAAUACAGAUGAAUCCUUCCUCUUCGAAUUCUUCUCCAAAAUGGGCCUAAAUCCCCUGCAAGAUCACGACUUUUCUGUGUCCUUAUGCUCCUGGAGAGGCGUCGAUUGUGACAAAAAUGGGGAGCACAUUGUCGGCCUGAAUGCCUCCGGAUUGGGUCUCUCCGGCGCCAUUUCUGAAACCACCAUUGGCAAAUUGGUGAAGCUUCGGACUUUGGAUCUCAGCCGCAACAAUAUCACUUCUCUGCCGUCGGAUUUCUGGAGCUUGAGCUCCCUCGUCGUCCUCAACCUCUCGCACAACAUAAUCGCCGGAAGCUUCUCCAACAACGUCGGAAAUUUCGGAGGGCUUCAAAUCUUGGACCUUUCUUACAACGAUUUGUCAGGGAGCAUCCCCGAAGCCAUCAGUUCCCUCGGGAGUUUGAAGCUCCUGAAUCUCAGCCACAAUGGGUUCGAAUCCACUGUUCCCUUGGGGAUUUCUCAUUGCCACGAAUUGGUUUACCUCGAUCUGUCCGGGAACAAUCUCCAUGGCCAUCUUCCUGAUAGCUUCGGCCAGGCGUUCCCCCGGUUGGAAUUCUUGAACCUCGCCGGGAACAGGAUCGCCGGCAGGGCGUCGGACCUUUCGGGAUUGGGAAUGAUUAGGUAUAUCAAUGUUUCUGGGAACAUGUUUGAUGGCAGUGUUGUUGGUGUUUUUGAAGGGCCGUUGGAAGUUGUUGAUUUGAGCUGGAACCAGUUCCAUGGCCACAUUGCUCGGGUUAACUUCAACUCUGAUUUCGAUUGGUGGAGGUUGAUCUAUUUGGACUUGUCUGGUAAUCAGUUGAGCGGUGAUUUUGAUUUCACCGGCGCCGGAGGUCUUAAACACCUCAAUCUUGCGGAUAAUCGGUUUUCCAGACAGCGAUUCUUUCGAGUCGACAUGCUAGCUGAUUUAGAGUAUCUGAAUUUGUCUCGUACCAAUUUGAUCGGGGAGAUUCCUAGCAAUAUCUCGCAGUUAAGUAGUUUGAAAAUGCUCGAUCUUUCGCAUAAUCAUCUCGACGGCCGGAUUCCUCCGCUUGCUACGGCGAACCUCAAAGUUCUCGACCUCUCUUACAACAAUUUGACCGGCGACAUUCCUUUGAUGCUUAUGGGAGAGCUCCAAGGAAUGGAAAGAUUCAAUUUUUCUUACAACAACCUAAGCUUCUGCGGAUCAAGAUUCAAUCUUGAAACUGUUGAAGCAUCGUUCAUCGGAUCGAUCAACAGCUGCCCCAUUGCUGCGAAUCCCGAUUUCUUCCAGAAAAAAUCUUCCAAGCAUCGCGGACUAAAGCUCGCUCUGGCGCUGAGUCUCUCGCUCGUUUGCCUGCUUGUGGGGUUGCUGUUCUUGGCAUUCCGGUGCAGAAGGAAACCGACCCGAAUGUGGGCCGUGAAGCAAAGUUCUUACAGGGAAGAACAAUCCGUCUCGGGACCCUUUUCGUUCCAGACGGAUUCGACCACUUGGGUAGCCGAUGUUAAGCAAGCAACGUCUGUCCCUGUGGUGAUUUUUGAAAAGCCAUUGCUGAAUUUCACCUUCGCCGAUCUGUUGUCGGCAACAUCGCACUUCGAUCGGGGGACAUUGUUAGCCGAAGGAAAGUUCGGCCCGGUUUACGGCGGCCUCUUGCCGGGAGGCAUUCACGUCGCGGUUAAAGUUUUGGUCCACGGCUCGACCCUGACGGACCUCGAAGCUGCAAGAGAAUUCGAGCAUCUCGGCCGGAUCAAGCACCCGAAUCUCGUCCCGUUGACCGGAUAUUGCUUAGCCGGCGAACAGAGGAUCGCCAUCUACGAAUACAUGGAAAACGGAAACCUCCAAAACUUGCUCCAUGAUUUGCCGCUAGGCGUCCAAACCCCCGAAGACUGGAGCACCGACACGUGGGACGAUGACAACGAGAAUCACGGGAUACAAAAUGUGGGUCCGGAAGGUUCCCACGCGACAUGGCGUUUCCGGCACAAGAUCGCACUCGGCACCGCCCGUGCAUUGGCGUUCCUCCACCACGGCUGCUCGCCGCCUAUAAUCCACAGAGACGUCAAGGCGAGCAGCGUGUACCUCGAUUCCAAUUUAGAGCCGAGGCUGUCUGACUUCGGGCUCGCCAAGAUCUUCGGAAACGGCCUCGACGACGAGUUUGCGCGCGGAUCGCCGGGGUACGUCGCGCCGGAAUUCCUUCGGCCGGAGAGUGGCUCCCCGCCAACCCCUACCCCGAAAUCGGACGUCUACGCAUUCGGUGUCAUUCUUCUCGAGCUAGUCACCGGAAAGAAGCCGAUGGGCGACUCUUAUCCCGACGACAAAGACGGGUGCUUAGUGAGCUGGGUUCGGGUGCUCGUGAGGCGAAACCGAACAAUGGAAGGGAUCGAUCCGAAGAUCCGCGGAACGGGACCGGAGGGGCAGAUGGCGGAGGCGCUGAAGAUCGGGUAUCUUUGCAGCGCCGAAGCUCCGGCGAAGAGGCCGAGCAUGCAACAAGUGGUCGGACUACUAAAGGAUCUCGAACAGAUUCGGGUUUAGAAAGAAAGGUUAUUACAUUGGUUGUGUGUCGUAACUUGCAAGUAACUUAAGGCCACGCUUCAGUCACAUUAUAUUUUGCCAUUAAGGCUAAGGUUGACCUUCUGUUUUAUUUCUACAUCAUUUCUUGCUUCUCUAACAUCGAUCCAUUAGGAUUUUUUUGUUAAAAAGCUGUAAUCAGAAUUGUUUUAAGUUAUUAAUUCAUUUAGAUACCUUAUGAUAAAUAUGCUGCUUGCUUAGCCCUAACCCUACUUUGGAUAAAGCAAAUCCAUCCGUCCACUAAAAGGUGAAAAAUAGAGAGUACACGCUACUGCGGUUGAACCCUAAACACUGUGAGUCCGCAGACGACCGACUGAGAGAAAGAGGAA